UAACGUUGAAUUCCUAUUUACUUUUAUUUGAUUUUUGCUUAAUUACCAUUUACUCUUUUUUAAUGCUCAUCAUCACGGAAUUUCAUUUUACCAUGCUUUUAAUUGGUUCAACAAUUUUUGCAUUAAAUGUUUUAUUUCUUCAAUUGCUUUAUGCACCAACAUUUCAUCUUAAUUCACGUGAUUUCCCAUUGUCAUAUGCAUUUCUUGUUUUAGCUUAAAUGUUGCAUUUAAAUAUCAUACCAUGUGUUUCUAUAUUAUGUGAUGCAUUUUAAUUAGUUUACUAAUCUUGUUUUAGAGACCGAUUAGUCUCAAUGUAGAACCGUUCGGUCACCUGUAGGACCGUUCGGUCUUCAUGCCUUGUUCAGUUAUUUUAAUGUUUUCAAUUAUGUUUGGUUGUAUUUAAUUUCCAGUUUUAUUUUAAUUUAAUUUUCCUUGCAAGAACACUUUCAAACCCCCCCA
rnacentral:lncRNA from 1 species